GGUAAUACCUGUGUUUUGCAAAAUGGAUUUUACAAGAGUGAUGGAGAGAACUGGUGUGAGAAGUCCUAAGGUAAAUCCAUUUUAGGACCUAGCACCCAAAGAAGAGAAUUGGGAGAAUUGAUCUGGAACAAAGCUGGCCCUUUAGAAGUCUUUUGGGAACUCCUAUCCCACUUGCUCAGGCUGUAUUCCAAUUUAAAGACACAAGAGAUCAACACACUAACCUGAAUUCACAUCUCAUUUUGCCUUCGCUGGCUGCUAUUCAUUUUACUAGUCUUCACAAAGGACUGCCACAAGAAUAACAGCUUCUUUUAUUUCAAAAUUUAAAUUUUAGAGAUACAAUUUAUGGAGGAGAAGAGCUGUUUUAAGUCACUGAAACACCCAAAGAAAAUAUAUCUGACAGUGUUACUGAGAAUCUUCAAGUUUGAAGGAAGAAGCUCGUAGCAGUGGACGGAGAUAGGGGUGGUAGCUGCUGCCAGGUGACUCAAAGUAGGACAUUUGUCACUGCUACUGCUGCUCUCCAUAAGGUGCUGAAUCCCUGACCCCAACCCACUAAGGGCUGCAACAUCUUAGAGGUGCCAAAUGAAGCUGUGCUUUCUCUGAGUCUUCCAGGUGGUGGAACCAUGUGAUAAUCUGAAGAGAAAUAAAGAUAAAUAAAGAGAA